ACCAGCUCCUGCCCCCCAGUACCUGCUGGGAUAAACGGGGGUGCGCAGGUGUAAGCAGAGCUGGAAGGUCUUCCUUUAACUGUAGAUUACUCUAAGAGAGAUGUGUAUGCAGUCAUAUAAAUACAAUUCCUGUCAGACCAUCCAUAAGAAGAGAAGUCUAAUCCUCACGCAGUGAGGGAUGACAGAGCAUGGCUGCUGCAUACUGGCAGAGACAGAGAGUUGCUUCAGCACCCAGGCCUCACUCAGCAGCUUCUGCCACACAGCACCAGUCAAAGUUAUUCCAGCAUGAAGCCCUGAGGGAGUAAUGUAUUGCUGCUUCUGUGGAUUAUAGGCAACCACCUCCCCAAAGCCAGAGCUAAUCUGUAUAUUAGAGUAAUUGCACCCAUGUGAACACUCUCCCAAAGACUUCUCCUAAGGCCUUCCCCAGCCAACAGGUGUGUACACAGGCACUUUGCUCACCAUGAGUAAGCAUCUCUAGCGGGUUCAGCCAGGAAAGCCUUUUGUGCCUCCUAUCAAAUAACAGAGAGGUUUUAGCAGCAUUACGGAGCAUCAGAAUUAAACAUCAUCCCCAAGAACAAAAAAACUGAUGGUCCUACCAUCAGCUGCUGCAGGAGGACUAAGUGAUGUGUCUAACUCCAAAGGGAUACUUAUAACCCAGGAAGACUAAUAAUCCACGAAGUUAAUUUUUGCUAUUACUUGAAAGUAAAGUGCCCUUCUUCUGUUCAUAAGACAGACAAAAUCGAGAAGAGAUCCCCAGAGUGGUUUGUGCUGUUUUUCCUUUCAUUAUUUGUGUUUCAGAUGAUCUGGGAAAUUACAUUGUUGGGCACAUUUGCUGGAAAUUUAGAAUUGGAGAUGACAGACUCAUCUCCCUCUCUAAGGGAUUAGAACAAUCUAAUUGUUUAAUAGGUAAGCAACGUGUUUAAUGUUUAAACUGUAAAUCCCUUCUUUAGCUCACUCUGCACCAGGACACUUAGUCAUUGAAUGAUUUCUGAGGCUGUGUCCCCAUGCUGGCUGUCAAAAGUAGCCACUGUUCUCAAGCUUAGCACCUGUCACUGCCAUGAAUACAGAAAUACUAAUUUAAAUGUUUAACUUUGGGGACAAAAAAGUUAAUGACUAAAAGAAUGCCUCCAGUUUCAGCCUUACAGUGGCAUCAACAACGAUGAGAAUUUUCCUUUGAAAACAGAGCUUGAUAGGGUAUGGUAGAUAUGAUAAGCAUAUUUUUUAAUGCUUUCCUGUGAGUUCAACUGUUGGAGUUGGUGACUGAAGUGAUUCCUUUAGCGCUGUAGCCCAUAUUUACAACACUAGUAACCUUUGAAGCAUAGAGGUUCAGCCUCUGUUUGCAAAGGGCAAGGUGAAGACUGACCCAAUCCUGCUAAGAUACACUUCCUACUUGCUCUUUGCUAGUAGAUUAAUAGCACAAGCAUGUUGAACAAGUGUUGUUUUCAAAAUGCAGAGGGGUUGUCAAUUUUUUUCCCUGAAGAAAAUUUCACUUAAAAAUAAAUGUUAUAAUGUUUCUCAAGUAGUUCUGAAGCAAGUAAAAAUGUGUCCAAGCCAUGCUCUCUAUCAUCUUAUUCUCUGUUAAGCACAGCCUAAAGUCUGUUUUCCCUCUCACCAACAUAACCUGGUUUGUACAAACAAAAAAAGGCCCCAUUUAGGCCCUUGAUAAGGGCUUUUCUUAGAGGACUAAGAUCUUCAGCAAGAGUCUAGAAAUGUCUACCUUACAGAAUGUCAUCCUGUAGAAGAGAUGCUGAUCAGUUUAUAACAGUAGCUGGAAUUGCUGCACAUAUGUGGGGUGAACAGGGAGCUGUUCACCCCACAGCCCCUUUCUCAUCUGCCCGUUGUUUCUGACACACUCUUGUCUCUCCUCUUUAUCCCAAGAACCUACCUACAAAAUACGAGUAAAUGCACCCUGUUCUUGCUCAGUCAGAGCUGAGCAGCGCUGGUCUUCAUUGCGCUAUAGGGAACUAUCCUUUAGCAAUGGUGAAAAAAUCCACCUCAGAUUCUCUACAACCCCGAAGGCUGACUCUGUCUUGAGUGAUGCUAUACAUAUUCCACUGAAGCCAGGAAAGUGUUCCUGACAGCUGAAGCAGAAGCAGUCCCAAUACAAAGAAGACAUUUUGUAAUUUGAGUUGCCCUGAAAGGUAGUUUGUGAAUUGCUACAGUGGUCAGCCAAAGAAUUAACUGUCUCUACACUAAUACUGUGUAUGCAGGGGUUGAAGAGUAACAGCAUUUAUCUGGAAGCAGAAUUAACCUAGAAUAGGUAUUAUUUUUUUAUACACUAUACACUGUAACUUUCUUUUAGACUUCAGAAAGACACAUUUCAAGAGUUGAUGAAUUCUUCUUUUUUUUCAGUGUCUUGAGUUUGUAUUUUGCUUAUCUUUCCUCAGUUUUCCUUAUUUCUUAUUUCUCUUAGUCCACCGUAUCCACUGAAGUUAAUUAGCUAUUGCUUUCAUCUCUUACGUCACCAUAUUUUCAUUGGAGAAGGUUAAUAAACCUGUGCAGAAUCUUUAACCAAUGAUCUCAGCUGCCUGGCUUUAUGACCAGUAGGUGGUGUGAACACAGGUUUUCCACUUGACUUGGUGGAAGU